rnacentral:lncRNA from 1 species
AUCUUAAUUAAUACUUAACUCGAUUUGAUCAACUACUAAAUUGAUUUAGAUCCAUUAUAAUCAAAUAAAAAAAUCUUAGGUGUUAUCUAAUUAUAUGACCUAAUUUGAUCUACCUAUGACCAAUCUCUCAUACACAAAUACAAAUUUUAGAACUUAAAUCUAAAUUUUUAGAUCUAAAUUUUUUAUAUGCAAAAAUAAAUUUUAUAUCUCAAAAUAAUUUUUAGAUCAUGUAUACGAUCAUAUAUCAAAUAUAUG